GUAGGGAAUAUUGCGCAAUGGACGAAAGUCUGACGCAGCGACGCCGCGUGAGUGAUGAAGGCCUUAGGGUCGUAAAGCUCUGUUGAAUGGGAAGAAAAAAAUGACGGUACCAUUCGAGGAAGGACCGGCUAACUUCGUGCCAGCAGCCGCGGUAAUACGAGGGGUCCUAGCGUUGUUCGGAAUCAUUGGGCGUAAAGGGUGUGUAGGUGGCCAGGUAAGUCAGGUGUGAAAGCCCCGGGCUCAACCCGGGAAGUGCACUUGAUACUGCGUGGCUUGAGUACCGAAGAGGGUAGUGGAAUUCCAGGUGUAGUGGUGAAAUACGUAGAUAUCUGGAGGAACACCGGUGGCGAAGGCGGCUACCUGGUCGAGUACUGACACUGAGACACGAAAGCAUGGGGAUCAAACAGGAUUAGAAACCCGGGUAGUCC
rnacentral:rRNA from 1 species